rnacentral:rRNA from 1 species
UACGGGGGGGGCAAGCGUUGUUCGGAAUUACUGGGCGUAAAGGGCGUGUAGGCGGCCAACUAAGUCCGACGUGAAAUCCCCAGGCUUAACCUGGGAACUGCGUCGGAUACUGGAUGGCUUGAAUCCGGGAGAGGGAUGCAGAAUUCCAGGUGUAGCGGUGAAAUGCGUAGAUAUCGAGAGGAACACCAGUGGCGAAGGCGAGUCUCUGGACGACUCCUGACACUGAGGCACGAAAGCUAGGGGAGCAAACAGG